CAUACCACAGCAUCUGGCACCAUGGCUGCUCUGUGACCUUGAGGAAUCUCUGUGGACCUUCAGCAUAGGAGAGAUUCACAGCUUAUCAGAUUCACCCCUGAGCUUCAGGACCUGGGUUCACAGUUAAAGACCUUCCCAGCUUGUUCUUCCAUGCCUCAGGUGAAUUUUCACUGUGGCAUGAGUGGCCUGGGGCGAGCAAGUAUUUCAAAGAAGAGGACACUAGACAGUGGAAAAGCACACGCUGGACCCAUGAACUUUCUGGAUUCACAUUUUCACUUACAACAGGCAAAAAUUUGAUAACCUCAGAUAUAAGUGAUAGAAACAGAAGUUUUUCAGUAAACUUUCUGGGAGAUACGUGAUGAAUGGAGAUACGUUCAAACUCCUGCCCCAAAGCAGAAGGGGGCCCACAGCUCUAUCUCUGGCUGGGUACUGGAGGCUUACGGAGGGGCUGCUCUGCAGGCUGGAAGUAUAAGUACAGAAGGUAGCAGCUGGGCCUAGAGACUGGAUAUAUGAACAGGCUAGCCUGCUAGAGUUGUCAAUCUAAAGACAGCACGGUGAGGCCAUAGUGAAUCUAGAGCAUGAGAUCAAGUCCAGCAGUUCCCUGAGAUACUAAGGCUGACCACAGGAUUCAUAAUAUUGUGCACAAUGGACAAGCCCUGCAGAGAGCCAUGAGUCAUGAGAGUUGCACUUUCAGUCAUGUAAUGUAAUGACAGACCCGUCAGCCUACAAAUAAGACAGGAGACUCUCCAGGAAACAGGUGCCCACCUGGCUCAGGCACACUGGGCCGGCUACGGAGACUCUGAGGUAUGCAUGUGCCACCACAGGGUGAAGCUGUUGCCCUGCAACUCAGUGGGGUUGUGCCAACAGAAAACAUCCCCAUUGGCAGCAUCAUGGAAGCAGGUUGUUCAAAUAAGCAUUUAUUAGGAGGUGAAGGGGAAAUGCCUAACUUACCUUUACUUGGAAAGACCUAAAUUCUCUGAGGUCUAAAAUCAGAGCAGAGAGAAGUGCUGCUGGCAUUGUGAAAGGAAUUCUAACCAGUGGGGGACAAUGAGAGAGACUGAAAAGUGCAGCCAGGUGCAUCCUGUGCCUGGAACAACCUGUAGGUCACAGAAUCUACACUUUCUUAGUGACACAGUGUAAUACAUUUAGUCCAUCACGUUAUCUAAGAACUCUUUCAGGGAUGGGUGCUGAAUCUUACUUGUUUAUUGGUAUGAGUACUUUUGAAGUGAACAAACUGGUAUUAAACUGCUUUGCUACCCUGUUUAGAGAAAUGCACAGGAUUCUGAGAAGAAGCUUCAGCCAACAGAAGCAUGACUCCUUUGAAUGUAUCCGAGCCUUUUUUCCUUUCAUUCUUUUUUGCUGGCAUUUUUAACCCAUGGAUCAUGAAAAAAAAAAUUCCCCCUAAAGAUCACUGUUUCAUUAAAUAGACCACCAUCUUCCAGCCAACUCUGGGAUCUGUCUGCCCAUGGCCACAAUGAGCAGAUGCUAGGUUCCAUCACUGUAAUGUGGAGAUGUGGGCAUCCAUGCAAUUCUUCCCCUGGUUCAUAAUGAUACUUUGAAAUACAAUCUGCUAUUUAAAACAGCUGUUGUUGAUUUACUUGGGACACAUGCUGAUUUUACGUCAAACAGAAUGUCAUGUGAACUUCUCCAAGGAGUCCUAGGGGAAAAAAAAGAACAGCAUAGAAGAUAAGAACAGCAUUUAUAAAUGUUUGCCUACGUUGGAAAUCCCCAAUAUAAAAUUUUUUGAUACUCUGGGAAAUAACAUACCUAUGUAACUGACUUAAUAUUUCUUAUUCCAUCUUACAAUCUCCUAUGCUGAUAUGAGCAAAGAGAAAAAAGAAAAAAAUCCCCUACUGACAAUGAAAUGCUUGUUACACUGAUGAAACCUUUGAUAAAUACUGAAAAAUAUGUAUCUUCAGGGAAGUACCUUACUUCUUCAAGUCUUCUCUUUCUGUUCCAUCUUCCUUUCCCCCCUAACCUCAACGAAUUUCCAUCAUCAUUAUUUUCCCUGAAAUUAAUACAAAUUUAUCUGGUUUAAAAAAA